rnacentral:tRNA from 2 species
GUGGACAUAGUUUAAUUAAAACCUUAGAUUGUGAUUCUAAUAACAGGGGUUAAACCCCCCUUGUCUACC